UACGAAGGGGGCUAGCGUUGUUCGGAUUUACUGGGCGUAAAGCGCGUGUAGGCGGACUUGUAAGCUGGGGGUGAAAUCCCGAGGCUCAACCUCGGAACUGCCUCCAAAACUACAAGUCUGGAGCAAGAUAGAGGCAAGUGGGAUUGCGAGUGUAGAGGUGAAAUGCGCAGAUAUCAGGAAGAACACCCGUGGCGAAGGCGGCUCUCUGGGACGGUACUGACGCUGAGACGCGAAAGCGUGGGGAGCGAACAGG
rnacentral:rRNA from 1 species